rnacentral:rRNA from 1 species
AAUAGAUACCCUGGUAGUCCACGCAGUAAACGAUGGAGACUAGGUGUGGCGGGAGUUGACCCCUGCCGUGCCGGCGCUAACGCAGUAAGUCUCCCGCCUGGGGAGUACGGCCGUAAGGCUAAAACUCAAAGGAAUUGACGGGGGGCCCGCACAAGCAGCGGAGCGUGUGGUUUAAUUCGACGCAACGCGCAACACCUUACCAAGGUUUGACAUCCCUGGAACCUGCCUGAAAGGGUGGGGUGCCUUCGGGAGCCAGGAGACAGGUGCUGCAUGGCUGUCGUCAGCUCGUGUCGUGAGAUGUUGGGUUAAGUCCCGCAACGAGCGCAACCCCCGUGGCUAGUUACGAGGUGUGUCUAGCCAGACUGCCGGAACCAAACCGGAGGAAGGUGGGGAUGAUGUCAAGUCAGCAUGGCCCUUACGCCUUGGGCGACACACACGCUACAAUGGCCGGGACAAUGGGCAGCCAAGCGGUAACGCGGAGCCAAUCCCCCAAACCCGGUCUCAGUUCAGAUCGUGGGCUGCAACUCGCCCACGUGAAGGCGG